CAGCAUUUACGCAAAUUGAGUUAUGGUCACUGGCGAGGCUUCUCAGCUGGUUAGCCAAACAUCAGAAAAAGAGAUGAGCAGGAAAACGAGACGAAGAAAACAAGAACAAUUUAUUUCAAGCAUAAAAAUUGCGACAGAACGAAAAUUUGUUUAGGUGUUGCAAUCCUGUUUGUUACGUUUCCAGCAACCUAAUUCCCUCAUUUAAUAAAGCUGAGCACGGUUCCCACAUCAACAACAAAUGCAGGUUCUCAGGUGCUACAUUGAAACCUCAGCACACAGCAUUCCUCACACCAACGGGCCAAAGCUUCACCUGGUCCAUAGGACCAAGCAAUUAUGUGACAGAUUUGUCAGCAUCUCUGUGACAGUGCACAAGUACAAUGAUCUUGUACUUACACCAACACAUGCUCUAAAACCAAUUAGCUUAGACCUAUGGCAGUAAAUCACACAACUAAAGUAUUUGGUCAUAAUUGAAUAUCCGAUGUAAAAAAAAACAGGAACCUUUGAAGUUCUCCAGUUUUUUGUGAUAAACUCAACACAUCGUUGCUGUCAUUCCUGUCUGCACUGGGGUUGGGUGCAUGGGUCUUGUGCUGACAAAAGGCUAUUGUCAUGGUGGCCUGGUAUUACUGAGUCUGAAGCUAGUGUAGCUUCACAGUUUCAUAUAGAAUGUUAGCAUAUGGCUAGCUACAUAUGGUGACAGUUAAGGCAAUUAUUCUCCUCUCAUUGAUCGCUAUCUCUGGCCCCUAUAAGGGGGUAUAACCUCAUUGGUAGGGGUACCCCAAUCCUCCAUCAUCUUUUCAUUUCUCUUUAAUUAAAUCAUCCAUCCACCCAACCAACAAUCAUCAGCUUUUGCUUUUGCUCCAUCUUAUACUCUCAUCAGCCCUCAUCACUUUUGUAUAGUACUAAGCACUCUUUAGCUCAACCUAUCUAAGCUGUGGUCCUUUAUGAGAUCCAUUUAUUUCCUCUGAAUUCAUCUCACAUCUUACCCAUUUCAGCUUAAAUUGUCACAGCCCAGUCCCUGGCCUUAUUUAAAGUCAAAUCCCAACCCCAGUGUAACUUACAAUCUGGCCCAGCGUAGACCACCCUAAAUUCUAUUGGUCAAGCCGCUAGGCAGUUUUUUUGGGGAUUGUUUUGGUUGCAUGGAAUCGGCUUAACCGUGGAGAGGCCAGGCUACCACAAACUGAUGGACUUUGACAAGCGAGGAGUUGG